rnacentral:rRNA from 1 species
GAUGAACGCUGGCGGCGUGCUUAACACAUGCAAGUCGAACGAGGUCCAACCUUCGGGUGAAGACCUAGUGGCGAACGGGUGAGUAACACGUGGGGAACCUGCCCUUCUCUCUGGGAUAACGUCGAGAAAUCGGUGCUAAUACCGGAUACUCCUUGCGGAUCGCAUGGUCUGCUCGGGAAAGCUCCGGCGGAGAUGGAUGGCCCCGCGGCCCAUUAGCUAGUUGGUGAGGUAACGGCCCACCAAGGCGACGAUGGGUAGCCGAGCUGAGAGGCUGAUCGGCCACACUGGGACUGAGACACGGCCCAGACUCCUACGGGAGGCAGCAGUGGGGAAUUUUGCACAAUGGGCGCAAGCCUGAUGCAGCAACGCCGCGUGCGGGAUGAAGGCCCUCGGGUUGUAAACCGCUUUCAGCAGGGACGAAACUGACGGUACCUGCAGAAGAAGCCCCGGCUAACUACGUGCCAGCCGCCGCCGUAAGAC